rnacentral:piRNA from 1 species
UGGUUUGUGCCUAAGCCACCUCCCU